rnacentral:lncRNA from 1 species
ACAUGUCAGUUUGUAUGUCCUUUGGUGUGUAAACAGUCUUAGGAUCACAAUACUUUGGAACGGCCAUGCUACCUACUACUGAUGUAGUACGUUUGCGCUGUAUGAAUGCUUUGUCCAUUGGGCAGCAUGUGUGUUGUUGGCUGAAACUUCUUAUCUUGAACAUCUGAAUCAUUAACUGACGUUGCCUUGAAAUGCCAUUUGUAACUUUCAGCUACACAUAUAAGCAGUAGCUACAAAAAAAUACAAUAUUACACAUAUUUAUGAAACACUGCAAUUAACUACAAACAAUAUACAAUUUAACUACAAUUCCAUAAAACAAGCCUAUCUUCAAUAAUACACUGAUUUUGCAGAUC